UACGUAGGGUCCGAGCGUUGUCCGGAAUUAUUGGGCGUAAAGGGCUCGUAGGCGGUUUGUCACGUCGGGAGUGAAAACUCAGGGCUCAACCCUGAGCGUGCUUCCGAUACGGGCAGACUAGAGGUAUGCAGGGGAGAACGGAAUUCCUGGUGUAGCGGUGGAAUGCGCAGAUAUCAGGAGGAACGCCGGUGGCGAAGGCGGUUCUCUGGGCAUUACCUGACGCUGAGGAGCGAAAGCAUGGGGAGCGAACAGG
rnacentral:rRNA from 1 species